UUGUCACUUCCACGGCCAUGACAGUUGAUUGAGGAAAGUUGCUGGGACAGAUACGGUACCGAGUUGCGCUACGGAAGAUGCACAAAUGUCGGGAAAGUUGGACCAAUUCUAGUAGCUAUUAAUCUCAGACAACUAACGAUUUGUGAUCAUUUUGUGCCAUGGGGCUAGUCGUCGAAUAAUCUCUGGUGCCUCUUACUUCGGUUGGUAUAGACGUGUACCUACUCUGGAAAUCGAAACCGAACACACAUACUGAAGCACGUAAAAGUGCAGAGGAGCACUAGAAAACGUACGGACAUAUGUAAAUAGUUAGCUGCUCAUAGUACGUUUUAAUAAAACAUGCAAAUCGUGCCCGACACCAUGAACUGCAUGGUCUGUACUCUUGGGAUAGUCUGCAGACUGCACAGCAUGAGUGUGGCUGUGCAUGUAGCGGUUAGUGUGGGUGUGCUGGUUUUAAUUUCAUGCUAGCUAGCCUUUGCUUGUGCAAACAAUUUACACCUCUUGAAACUACUUGUUGAGUACCAGGAGAAACCCCGUCCCUUUGACACCCAUACGCCAUGGCAAUUAAUGGCAGGUUUAUUCGUGAGUUUGUGUGGUUGUGUCCGCUCCUGAACAAAUACAUAAAAGGGUUUGUGCCCAAAUUGUGGAUACAAACUGAAAAUGUUUUCAACUAGCACUGAGAGCUGCAGACCCUGUCGCACCUUUCGAAGUCAACUCAUGAAUGCCGAAUACUGACAUAUCAAAUUAACUUAAUGACAUAAUGUUACACCAGUUAUUCAAGUGUCAUUCAUUUACCGAGCGUGUUUGGCUGUGUGUGUGUGUGUGUGUUUGUUGGUGCUCGUACAUGUCUUUCCAGAAGAAUGUCAUUGUGUGUGUGUGUGUGUGUUGCCAACACGAGUACUACGUGUACGUUUUGCCUUUUCUAGUUGUGCUGUAGAUAGCCAUUCUCUUUGAGCCAAAUGACACCCUUUUGUGUUCGGUGUUUCCAUGUUCAUCUUGACUUGGCAGAUUCCAUCCUUUGACUGUUUCUUGCGCUUUGAAAUAGCUUCGAAUAUUUUCUGUCAACUGUCUAAGGUCUAAAGUUCAGCUGAAGAGACAAAUUUUAGUCAUGUUCAAGCGCACAUCCAGUCUCCGUGCCACCUCCCACUCACACGCUCGCUCCAAACGACAUUACCACCCACCUGCCUUUUCACAUGCCAGGCAUACCAAUAAACCUCUAACGCUGUAGCUGUUAAAGUCUCAGUGCACUGCCGAAAAUUUCCUAAAUUCAAAUUAACUCAUGUAUGUAUGUAUGUAUGUACUCCUGUAUAUGUGGGUACUCCUAGUUCUUCGUCUCUCCCCCGUUCUUGUUACUUCAUGACUUUGGUGCUUCCAUUCUUGAUACCUCCUGACAAUAGCUUCGUACUGUAAGUGUUGUUGUCGGGUAUGUUGCUGGAGCAGAGACAACGCUUGGGCAGGUCUCUGGGAAUUUGUUAAAGAAGUAGAACAUGGCCAACGAUAAAGGGCAACAUUGUAAACAAAGCGUAAAGUAUUACUGCUACUUGUUUCGAAAUUUCUAUUCUUAUCCAGAGGCAUGUCAUUCUGGCAUAUUGACCCCACAACGUGGAGAGGUUGCUUUAUAUUUACGAGGGUUUUUGGACACCGAAUCUAUAUAUCCAUAUAUAUAAAUCAAAUGUCGUUCGUUGUGUCAGCUUAGAACCGCCGGACCCAAUUGGAUAUUUUUUUUUUAACAAACGUUCGUUACACGCCAACUUAGGUUUUUAUGGAAAGAAAAAUUGAACAAGCCAACUUUUUUCGGUUUAUCAAAAAUCGUUAUAUUUGCAAAAAUAAUGAAGAAUUCGGUUUGAAAACUAGUACACGAGAUGCGGUUGACUAUCUCUCCCAACCUAAGUAAUUACUUGCUAGGUUUACCCAAAAGUUCACGUCAGUCUGAAGAUGUUGAUGAAGUAUUUGCGCAAUUAUUUGGUAGUAAUCUCUCGAAAACGUAAUUUAGUUUAGUUUAUGGUUCCCCAAGCCAUUAUACAUAUACGAGAUGUUGGUUUUUCUAAAUCUAAAAUGUGUUUGAUGCAAUCAUGAAGGAUACACUUAAUAUAUAUAGGUAGAUUGCAAAUGUAAAACUUCCAGGGGAUAAUACGUCUAAUACAUCUGCAAACAGCAUUAUCCAGGAGCAUUCAUUCUCUAAACAUUCGUAUUUACAUAAUUGGUUUUUAUACCGAUCUCAUACCUAUUUCAUACGUACGUACGUUUUGAUCCAUUAAUUCCACAAAGUAUCAUCGGAUGGUAUUGGGAAUGGUUAUCUUGCAACCGCAAGUCCGUCACAAAUUUCUUAAGGUGCAAGUACAUGGAGAGCAUUUUUAAGGGCUUAAGUCAUAGACUGGCUUCUUCACAAAAAGAACAAAGGAGUUUUAGGUUGACUUGGUUCAAUUUGUUCAACCUACGAGCCUUUGUCCGAUAACUUUAAUCGAUGAUAAAGGUAUUUUACCUAUUCUCACAUUGUAAAAGCCAAGCGGCUAUGGACUGUUUCACCCGCCAAAUAUCAUGCGAUCACCAUCCAAUAAUUAAGGACUCCUUCUGUGUCCUUAAACCCUACUUCAUGAUUUUCUUGUAGGUCAAACACUCCCUGCAGUCUGUAAACGUUUCCAAAACCUAUAGGAUUUUAUUCGGACUCUGUCCAAAUGCAAACAUCGAACGAUGAUGAUCUGUGUUCUGAACUACAAAUAAAAGUAUCAGGAUCUUUAUGUAUAUAAACUGAAAGGUAUGCAGAAUUAUGUUGAAACCACGUCUCUUUCAAGAGAACAAAUGCCAGACGUAAGUCAAGAAAAUCUUGCUAGAAGUGCUUAAGGUUAUAUUUGAUUUAAUAAGUAACAAUGCGGCAUGCAAAGGCGUCGCAGUAACACCAUCAAUCAUCAAUGUUGUUUUAAAAACUGUCAUCAAGAAUCUCUAUCACAAGAUGCCAUAAAACGCAAGUGUAGAUUCAGAAGAAUUACAAAAGGUUUCUUCAGGGCCUUUUCUCAAAAAGACACGAAUUACAUAUCUUUUUAUAAUCUCCUCCAUGGAAAUGUGGGUAUAGUAAAUUUGUCAUUCGAUUUAUAACACCUCUAAAUAUUCGUCGUAGACCCAUAAAAGAUUUGAAAUUUGGCACAAUAUGUCUAGAAUGUUUGGUAUUGAAAAUGAUACAGGGAUGUUUCAACAAGGCAUUGCACUGUGUACAUUAUAAUGCGAACCAUUCAAUAGCCCACAUAACAAGACUGCUCUAUCUCCAUAAUGGAUCUGCUGUUAAAAAUCAAACAAGUUGCGAAUCGGGAAUCCUUUAGGUGAAAUUAAUAAUAUGUUAUAACUGUAAAACUUUUAGUAACGUUAGUGUUUAGCAUUAAGCUUUAAGAAUAUUUAAUAUCGAAAUAUUUUAUAUCAAAUCAAUAAAGAACAAUUUAAGAAAUAAUA